rnacentral:rRNA from 1 species
GCCAGCCCGCUCAAGAAACUUAAAUGAAGUUGACGGGGCCCGCACAAGCGAGGAGCAUGUGGUUAAUUCGAUGAUACGCGAGGAACUUACCUGGGCUCGAACGUAAGAUGACUGUAGGUGAAAGCUUACAUCUCUUCGGAGCAUUUUACGAGGUGCUGCAUGGUUGUCGUCAGCUCGUGCCGUGAGGUGUCGGGUUAAGUCCCAUAACGAGCGCAACCCCUACCUUUAGUUGCCAUCAGGUAAUGCUGGGGACUCUAAAGGAACUGCCUACGCAAGUAGUGAGGAAGGCGGGGAUGACGUCAAAUCAGCACGGCCCUUACGUCCAGGGCUACACACGUGCUACAAUGGCCGAUACAGAGGGCAGCUACCUGGUGACAGGAUGCAAAUCUCCAAAGUCGGUCUCAGUUCGGAUCGGAGUCUGCAACCCGACUCCGUGAAGUUGGAUUCGCUAGUAAUCGCGCAUCAGCCAUGGCGCGGUGAAUACGUUCCCGGGCCUU